AGCUACACAGUGGCAGUAUUAUAGCCAAUGAGAUUUUAUCCUAGACAAAAUUAUUACUAAUUGAAAACUUUUCCUAAGGCCCCACUGUGACAACUUGCAAUAUAGAUGGCAUUGGAAAUUUUUGACAAUCUCUAAAGAGA
ensembl:snRNA U4 U4 spliceosomal RNA